UUGUAGCUUGCUACGAUUUAACUUAGUGGCAGACGGGUGAGUAAUGUAUAGGAAUCUACCUAGUAGUACGGAAUAAUUGUUGGAAACGGCAACUAAUGCCGUAUACGCCCUACGGGGGAAAGAUUUGUUGCUAUUAGAUGUGCCUAUAUUGGAUUAGCUAGUUGGUAAGGUAAAGGCUUACCAAGGCAAUGAUCUAUAGCUGAUCUGAGAGGAUGAUCAGCCACACUGGAACUGAGAUACGGUCCAG
rnacentral:rRNA from 1 species